rnacentral:rRNA from 1 species
GAUGAACGCUGGCGGCGUGCCUAACACAUGCAAGUCGAGCGGAGAUAAGGGGAGUACUUGUACAAACUUUAUCUUAGCGGCGGACGGGUGAGUAAUGCGUGAGGAACCUGCCUUUCACUGGGGAAUAACAUCGAGAAAUCGGUGCUAAUACCGCAUAACGUCGCGAGAUCGCAUGGUAUUGCGACCAAAGGAGCAAUCCGGUGAAAGAUGGACUCACGUCGGAUUAGGAAGUUGGUGGGGUAACGGCCCAACAAGCCUAGGAUCGGUAGCCGAACUGGGAGGUUGAUCGGCCACAGUGGGACUGAGACACGGCCCAGACUCCUACGGGAGGCAGCAGUGGGGAAUAUUGGGCAAUGGGCGAAAGCCUGACCCAGCAACGCCGCGUGAAGGAAGAAGGUCUUCGGAUUGUAAACUUCUUUGAUCAGGGACGAAAGAAAUGACGGUACCUGAAGAACAAGCCACGGCUAACUACGUGCCAGCCGCCGCCGUAAGAC